CGGACGGGUGAGUAACGCGUGGGAACGUGCCCUUCUCUACGGAACAGUCCUGGGAAACCGGGUUUAAUACCGUAUACGCCCUUUUGGGGAAAGAUUUAUCGGAGAAGGAUCGGCCCGCGUUGGAUUAGGUAGUUGGUGGGGUAAUGGCCUACCAAGCCCGCGAUCCAUAGCUGGUUUGAGAGGAUGAUCAGCCACACUGGGACUGAGACACGGCCCAGACUCCUACGGGAGGCAGCAGUGGGGAAUCUUAGACAAUGGGGGAAACCCUGAUCUAGCCAUGCCGCGUGAGCGAUGAAGGCCUUAGGGUUGUAAAGCUCUUUCGCUGGGGAAGAUAAUGACGGUACCCAGUAAAGAAGCCCCGGCUAACUCCGUGCCAGCAGCCGCGGUAAUACGGAGGGGGCUAGCGUUGUUCGGAAUUACUGGGCGUAAAGCGCGCGUAGGCGGAUUGGAAAGUUGGGGGUGAAAUCCCGGGGCUCAACCCCGGAACUGCCUCCAAAACUAUCAGUCUGGAGUUCGAGAGAGGUGAGUGGAAUUGCGAGUGUAGAGGUGAAAUUCGUAGAUAUUCGCAGGAACACCAGUGGCGAAGGCGGCUCACUGGCUCGAUACUGACGCUGAGGUG
rnacentral:rRNA from 1 species